AGUAAUCAUUUUCAGUGCACUUAGGUUGCGGUUUCUGAGGUGGGAUCUCCCACCCCCGCCCCCUAACACAUGUGGUAGACUGUAAGGAAUCCGCACACUGGUCCGUCGUGACUACCAAUCCACCUUAAUCUGCGUCGUAGUACUAAGUUAUCCUCCAAACCGCCUUACAAUCAGCUGACACCCAAAGGCCAGCCAAUCCAGCUGCAAGCCCUAUUAUCACCCCUCUCCCCUCUUAGAAUUGUAGUUGUUGUUGUUUAUUAAUUUAUUGAUAUUUUGCUUGUAACAGGAUUGGGGUAACGUCAAGAGCAAAUUGGCCAUAAUGGCACUUAUGCUUAAACAGUGAACUUUCCCUCUUUUCCUUCUGGGUGUCUACAUGUUGCAUGUAGUACUGUAGUUAGUUGUCUGUUCGCGGAGUCGGAUAGCCAGUAGGUGAAUUUUUCACCAGUACGAGCUACUUGCAACCCCUCCCUAUGAAAGCCUAUCACUUUAUACAUUCCAGCAAUGUAUGCACUACCCACAAUGCGUAACGUUUCGGUUCUUCUUUGGUGUGUUUGCGGAGUGGGAUGCAUGAAGUGUAGGCUUGGAACCCUGCUGCAUGAUAUCCCCUGACAGGACUAGCUGAUUGACCAUGCGCAGGACGUCACAGUUUCAACUUUGAACCUCAUGCCUUGAAAGCGACGCCCCUGGGAUGUCGAAGGCGAUUCCUAACCAAUUUUUCCAACGUCAUAUUGUUUCGUCUCUGAUUCUCAAUUUUGCAAAACUUGCAACUAAAUCCCGCAAGGGUCGUUGCAAUGUUGAUGGCGAAUGCUUCUGUAGUUCCUCUAUUGCAGCAGAAUCACUAAGUACAUGGUAUAACGGUGUCAUGGUUCAAGAGACCAAGAACUUGGAGUUGUUUCAACUAUAUCGGUUACCAAACCAGGAUGAGGGGAGAGUUCACUUCCACGAUACACAUUACAUUUGCUAAUAUUGCAAGUCAAGUUUAGGAGAGGAAAUUCACAUUAUGCUGAGAUUGAAAACGAUCAUCGCAUGCUUCUAUCACCUCUACAAAACAAUGAAAACACCCUACUAAAACUGCCAACAUGCGCAUAAGCAGCUGACAUUACUGGCUAAAAUGUAUCAUUAUUGCAGUUUCUGUAUUCUUGCGCUAUGAUCACGGAAGAAUGUGCCCUCAGUUAAAACUGAUCAAUUUCAGUGGAAAAUAGUGAUGCCACUACGGCGACCAGUAAAUUCAAAGUUAUAACCCACAAAAAUGCUUCUAUCGCUUGCAGUUCACUCUUGCCCUCCUACAGUUGCAGGUCGAGGAAUCUUCACAUAAUACGGCACGCACGAAAUCACCGCCAAAUAUUUCGACGGGGGGAAAUGCUAAUAGAUCACUUGUGGUCACAUUAUUGCAUCUCUCAUUGGAAGGAAGAAUUUCAGCCCGCUAACACCAUGACUGGCGCCAUCUGAGCUUUAUUGACCAGGAGAGGGAGAGUCAGGAAGGGGAUCUGGGUCACAUGCAGCAUCGGUGAGUUGCAACUUCAGAAAGUUCAGAAAUAGAAGUCGUCGAACCUCAAAUCAUUCAGUAAUUCUUUCUUAAUCUUCUCGGAACACUUCCACUCUUGACCAUGGCUCGAUUCCUGGGGGUUUUUCAUUGCUGGAAAUGGUUACAUGAACCAUAGCAACCAAAGUUGUGAGCCUUGCAAAAUAAGGUAGAUUAGAAAAAUAAAUAAUAAAAAAAUUUUAAGGAGGAAGUUAAGAGUGGAUUCUAGUAAAAAUUACUUAGAAAAACUAGAUGUUGAUACCUAGAGAAGGCCGGUUAUGAACUAGGGUCGAAAUCAGACCCAAAGGCACAAAACCGAGUCUUGACCAUUACUUCGGAAAUCUUUGGUGAAUCGGAAAGUGGGGUUUGAUAAAAGAUUAAACAAGGUUUUUAUGAGCA